GCCGGGCGCGGUGGUGUGUGCCUAUAGUCCCAGCUACUCAGGAGGCUGAGGUGGGAGGAUCGCUUGAGCCCAGGAGUUCUGGGCUGCAGUGCACUAUGCCGAUUGGGUGUCCACACUAAGUUCAGCAUCAAUAUGGUGACCUCCCAGGAGCAGGGGACCACCAGGUUGCCUAAGGAGGGGUGAACUGGCCCAGGUCGGAAACAGCAGGUCAAAACUCCCAUGCUGAUCGGUAGUGGGAUCACGCCUGUGAAUAGCCACUGCACUCCAGCCUGGGCAACAUAGCAAGACCCCGUCUCU
rnacentral:SRP_RNA from 1 species